UACGGAGGGGGCUAGCGUUGUUCGGAAUUACUGGGCGUAAAGCGCACGUAGGCGGCUUUGUAAGUUAGAUGUGAAAGCCCGGGGCUCAACUCCGGAAUUGCCUUUAAGACUGCAUCGCUAGAAUUGUGGAGAGGUAAGUGGAAUUCCGAGUGUAGAGGUGAAAUUCGUAGAUAUUCGGAGGAACACCAGUGGCGAAGGCGGCGCACUGGUCCAUUACUGACGCUGAGGUGCGAAAGCGUGGGGAGCAAACAGG
rnacentral:rRNA from 1 species